UUUCAGCCGUUGAUCUCACGCAAUGAAUUAUUAAUUCUUAAUUUACAUAACCAGGGGUAUUACUGUAACUUCUCAACCCGCACAACCUGUCCGCUCGAGAGCACGAUCCGGAGGCGGGCGUUGCACGAUGGUCGAUGGGAAUCUCGGGGAUGCAGGAUGCAGCGAUCGCGCCGAGCCUCGCCGGUGCUCUCCGGGGAUUGGCCUCGCCGCUGCUUUUUGGGGACUUCCCUGCACCUCUGCCCCCGUGCCCCGCUGCCGCCCGCCUGCCCUAGCCGCUGGAGAGCACAAUCCGGUCGGCGGCUUCUGCCCCCUGCGGCCCUGCCCCGCCGCCUCCUUCCUAUGAAUCGCCGCUGACGCCUCCUUCCGGCGAGGGGCAGAUCUGCCGGUCCCAGUUGUCGCGAGAGAAAGAGAUUGCUCUAUAUCGUGAAGUCCUGUAAUCAGAUAAUGCUGAUGGCGAAGACGGUGGUGAGAGGGAUGAUGCCUUAUCUGCACAUGCGCCUGCUUAUCUCCAUUUCCAUUAGUUGGAUAUGUUUCUUAUGGCUUGAGCAUAGCCGAGGUGGCUCCAUUAUUGGAUUGCCUUAUAUUGAUCCACUAGCUGGGCUUGAGACCUACAACAUGGGAACAACCUGUGAUUACAUGAAUUGGAGGAGCCAGAUUUUCUCAAUACAAGCAACCAGGGAUUAACCGUCAGAACCGAGAGCAACAUGAAUGACCUUGUCUCCAAGUACCUGCAGUACCUGGAUGCGACUGCUGGCGAGAUGGAGUUCAACGUUAUGUUUGGGUCUCCUGCUUGUUUUUGUAUCGUGGCAUGUAUGGGAGUUGAGUACUGAGUUCGUAUGUAGGCUCAAUUCUACUGUGAUGUUUGUUCUGUGCGAAAUCAUCAGUUAUCUGAACUUCUAUCUGUGGAAGAGUAUUAUAGACCGUACAGAAAUGCAGUUAGAUUCAAUACAUAUGGGCGAGAUGGAAAAGUGUGAUUCAAUACCCUGAA